GGAUCUGUCCAUUUUAGAUUCUUCCUCACCACAGAUUUGAGGACUGGAUUAUGGGCCAGCGAGAAGACCAAGGCUCUUCAAAAUGAACCCUAAGACCUGUUUAAAACAUGGAAAAGCAAAGACCCCAAGGCCAUACUAGCUUCUCUCACUCUCACGGUGCCUAUUCUGAGCCACACUUCACCUUUUCUGAGACCCAGGAUGCAGAU